GACGAAUGCUGGCGGCGUGCUUAACACAUGCAAGUCGAACGCUGAAGCUCAGCUUUUGUUGGGUGGAUGAGUGGCGAACGGGUGAGUAACACGUGAGUAACCUGCCUCCUUCUUUGGGAUAACGCCCGGAAACGGGUGCUAAUACUGGAUAUUCACUGGUCUUCGCAUGGGGGUUGGUGGAAAGGGUUUUUCUGGUGGGGGAUGGGCUCGCGGCCUAUCAGCUUGUUGGUGGGGUGAUGGCCUACCAAGGCUUUGACGGGUAGCCGGCCUGAGAGGGUGACCGGGCACAUUGGGACUGAGAUACGGCCCAGACGCCUACGGGAGGCAGCAGUGGGGAAUAUUGCACAAUGGGCGCAAGCCUGAUGCAGCGACGCCGCGUGAGGGAUGGAGGCCUUCGGGUUGUGAACCUCUUUCGCUCAUGGUCAAGCCGCAACAAUGGUUGUGGUGAGGGUAGUGGGUAAAGAAGCGCCGGCUAACUACGUG
rnacentral:rRNA from 1 species